rnacentral:rRNA from 1 species
CUCAGCAUGCUCCGUAUUCACUAGUGAUUUCUGUUUGAUCCUGGCGGAGGAUACGCGCACCAGUUCAGUUCUCCUUGGCCAUUAUGGCAUCCACCGUCCCCUUCAAUCCCAUCAUAAGUUCAACGAGCGAGACCCAA